ensembl:lncRNA
CCACCGCUCUGCUCCGGGAGCAGGUCUCCUGGGCCGGCGCGUCCCGCGGGCCAAGCCCUCGGUCGGAGUCGGAGGCGGGGUUCGAUUCCACCGCUCAGCCGCCGGCUGGACGCACCGCGAGUUCCCGCUCUCCGCGCCUGCGCGGUAAACAUGCAGAGGAGUUCGGCACCCGCCGGCAGGCCGAGCGCCGACGUCCCGCCCUCCCGGAGGGGCUGGGCGCCCGAUCCCUCCUUCCCCUAGCUCCAGGCACCCGGCAGAAGUGCUCGGGAGCUGUUCCUCGAUGCGGCUGCACGGCGUCCCGAUGUAUCAUGGAAGCAGCUUAAGACGGGAGUGGGAAGGGCAAAAACAUGCUCCAGACACAUCAACCAAGAUAAACUCUUGAAAUUUUGCUAUAAAAAAUAGAUCUCAGAAAAUGUUUUUAUAGUGCCCUAAGUUUCCUAAGGAUUUAGACUCAAAGCAUGGAAAUGAAGAACCUAGCUGUAAUACUAAGAUGCAUGAAGGUGAUGAGAGUGUCUAUUGCGUGAAGUUACCAUAAUCACCUGAACCAGUUCCUUAGCAGAGAAUAUUUAGGCUGUUUCUGACCUUUGCUGGUAGCAACAACAAUGCAGUGACUAUCCUGGAACAAAUGCCAUUUUGCUCCUGUAUGAAAAUAUCUGCAGGGUAACUUCCUAGAAGUCCAACUGCUAAGCAAUUUGGGUCUUCAGAGAUGAUUAAGAUGAAGUCAUCGGGUGGGCCCUAAUCCAAUAGGACUGUGUGUUUAUAAAAUGGGGAGAUUUGGACACAGAAACACACACACACACACACUGGGAGAACGCCAUGUGAAGAUGAAGGCAGAGAUUGGACUGAUGCUUCUACAAACCAAGGAACGCCAAAAACUGCCAGCAAACCACCAGGAGCUAGGAGAGAGGCGUGGAACAAAGGCUCCCUCACAGCUGUCAAGAGAACCAGGCUGCCAACACCCUGAUCUUGGACUUCUAACCCCAGAGCUGUGAUACAACAAAUAGCUGUUGUUUAAGCCACACAGUUUGUGGUAGUCGCAGUCCUACAGACUAAAAUACCAGGUAGUCAAGAAGUAGAAACGCAGCAGAUAGAAUAAAUAACUCAGCAGUCUUAAAUUUUUGACUUGGGAGAACCAUUAUGUUUGUUUAUUAAUAACAUUAAUUUCAGUCUUUUUUCAAAAAAUUUUUUUAUUGUGGUCUAAAUAGUUUAUAACAUUGUGAAAUUUCAGCAAUACAUUAAUAUUUGUCAAACACCAUAUAAGUGUGCCCCUGCACUCCUUGUGCCCACCUUCCCCCUCCUUUCCUCUGGUAACCACUAAAUUGUUCUCUUUGUCUGAAGGUUGUUUAUAUCCCACAUGUGAGUGAAAUCAUACGGUGUUUGUCUUUCUCUAUCUGGCUUAUUUUGCUUGACAUGAUGCCCUCAAGGUCCAUCCAUGUGGCUGUGAAUGGGACAAUUAUGUCUUUUCUUAUGGCUGAGUAGUAUUCCAUUGUAUAUAUAUACACACACCACAUCUUCUUUACCCGCUGGGCACUUGGGUUGCUGCCACAUCUUGGCUAUUGUGAAUAAUGCUGCAAUGAACAUAGGGGUACAUAAGUCUCUUUGUAUUAGUGAUUUCAAGUUCUUUGGAUAAAUACCCAGUAGUGGGAUAGCUGGGUCAUAUGGUAAUUCUGUUUUUAAUUUUUUGAGAAAUCUCCAUACUGUUUUCCAAAGUGGCUGCACCAGUUUGCAUUCUCACCAGCAGUGGAUGAGGGUUCUCUUUUCUUCACAACCUCUCCAACAUUUAUUAUUUUUUGUCUUGAUGAUUAUAGCCAUUCUAAAUGGGUGUACGGUGAUAUCUAAGUGUAGUUUUGAUUUGCAUCCCCUGAUGAUUAGUGAUCUUUUCAUGUGCCUAUAGCCAUUUGUAUAUCUUCUUUGGAAAAAUGUCUGUUCAUAUCCUCUGCCCACUUUUUGAUUGGGUUGUUUAUUCUUUUGUAGUUCAAUUGUGUUAGUUGUUUAUGUAUAGUGGAGAUUAACCCUUUAUUGGAUUUAUGAUUAGCAAAUAUUUUCUCCCAGUUGUUGGGUUGUUUUUUCAUUUUGAUCUUGGUUUCUUUUGCCUUGCAGAAGCUCUUUAGUAUGAUAAAGUCCCACUUGUUUAUUUUUUCUUUUGUUUCCCCUGUCUGAGUGGACAUCAACAUUAACUUCAUUCUUAACAUGAAUUUUUUGCCUUAAUAAGUUCCUGCAAUUAAAGCAACACAAAGGGGCCAGCCCGGUGGCACAGUGGUUAAGUUCGCACAUUCCACUUCUUGGCAGCCCGGGGUUCACUGGUCUGGAUCCUGGGUGCGGACAUGGCACUGCUUGGCAAAAGCCAUGCUGUGGUAGGCAUCUCAUGUAUAAAGUAGAGGAAGAUGGGCACGGAUGUUAGCUCAGGGCCAGUCUUCCUCGGCAAAAAAGAGGAGGAUUGGCAGUAGUUAGCUCAGGGCUAAUCUUCCUGAAAAAAAAAUAAAAGCAAAACAAAGCUACACCGAAUAGUAAUCUGAUACCAGAAAUUCGAGAAACUAUUCAACAUGAAUAGUAAGGAGAGAGGAUUGAACUCCACAAAUAAACUCUGCUCCAAAAGUAACAUCCUAGUGACCAGAGAUUUAAUUUAAAGAAGCUUAGCAAAAAUAUUUAAAUAAUUUAAGAACAUACUAAUUCCCUAAAUAAAUUAUAGUUUAGCUUCUUUAGGAAGGCUCACAGAUGAUAAAAUGAUUGAUGAUUACUUUUUUUAAAAUAGCUUUUUGCUUUGGACAAGUUUUUAGAAUAAUCCCUAAUCUAAAUAUUUAUAAUUCUAUUUCCAUGAUUAUUUUAAGGGUUAGAAGCUUUAAGUAUAAUUCAUGGUCAUGAAGGGUGGCAGAGAUAGGCAUAACACUAAAUAAGGAGAGCACAAAAUUUUAGAGAGG